rnacentral:rRNA from 1 species
AUUGAACGCUGGCGGCAUGCCUUACACAUGCAAGUCGAACGGCAGCACGGGUGCUUGCACCUGGUGGCGAGUGGCGAACGGGUGAGUAAUACAUCGGAACAUGUCCUGUAGUGGGGGAUAGCCCGGCGAAAGCCGGAUUAAUACCGCAUACGAUCCACGGAUGAAAGCGGGGGACCUUCGGGCCUCGCGCUAUAGGGUUGGCCGAUGGCUGAUUAGCUAGUUGGUGGGGUAAAGGCCUACCAAGGCGACGAUCAGUAGCUGGUCUAAGAGGACGACCAGCCACACUGGGACUGAGACACGGCCCAGACUCCUACGGGAGGCAGCAGUGGGGAAUUUUGGACAAUGGGCGAAAGCCUGAUCCAGCAAUGCCGCGUGUGUGAAGAAGGCCUUCGGGUUGUAAAGCACUUUUGUCCGGAAAGAAAUCCUUGACUCUAAUACAGUCGGGGGAUGACGGUACCGGAAGAAUAAGCACCGGCUAACUACGUG